UAGCUCCUACGGGGGGCAGCAGUAGGGAAUCUUCCACAAUGGGCGCAAGCCUGAUGGAGCAACACCGCGUGAGUGAAGAAGGGUUUCGGCUCGUAAAGCUUUGUUGUUGGAGAAGAACGUGCGUGAGAGUAACUGUUCACGCAGUGACGGUAUACAACCAGAAAGUCACGGCUAACUACGUGCCAGCAGCCGCGGGAAUACGUAGGUGGCCAGCGUUGUCUGGAUUUAUUGGGGGUAAAGGGAGUG
rnacentral:rRNA from 1 species